UCAAUUUUACUGUUUUUUUUUUCCUUUUUAAUCUUUGGAUCGAAUCAUUGCUUAGUUCUUGCUUAAUUUCUCCAUUUUAUGGUGGGUCUUUGAUUGCAGGUUUAGCUCUGCGCGAGAACUGGGAAAUUUAAUUGUGACCUCCAAUCUAAUCGACUCUGCUUUGACUAAAAUUCUUGAGCUUCAAAGAGACCAAACAGCCUUGCCUUCCCCCGUUCAAUACAGAGUUUUUUAUCCAUCUCCCAAGUGCACAAUUGUAGCUUUUGUCUCUUCACCUGACUGCACUCAAAACCCUCUUCCUGGACAAGGAGAUUUAGUUCCCUCUCCUCUCUUUGACUUCCUCUGCACCGAAGAAUACCCUUCCGUCUCCAUUAACGGAGCCGCAUUAACCCUCUUUACCUCUCUCUACGAUCAUCUCUCUGGACUAAUAGAUGAGGUCAAAAUCUGAUACUUGUUUUAAUUUACGUUAACUUUUCGUUAACAAUUGUGAGACACGAAACAGCUUGACCAUGAGAUCUCCCUCAUGGAGUCAAAACCCGUGUUGGUAUCUGUUUUUAGAUCAACUUAUAUAUAUAUAUAUAUAUAUAUAUAUAUAUCUUGUGGAUAAAAGGAAAGUUUACAAGUGAGAAUAGUGGCAUUUUUCUGACAGAUUUCACACCGUUGCUUGUUUUGCAGUUGACUGUGAUUGAAGGUCGAUUAAUCAUCACUGGGCACUCGAUGGGAGGAUCCGUUGCUUCUCUCUUCACCUUAUGCCUGCUAGAAGUCAUUAAUAUAUCAAAACCCAAAUGCCGCCCCAUUUGCAUCACCUUUGGUUCACCCCUCAUAGGCGACUUUGGCCUCCAACACUCCAAUUGGAAUUCUUUCUUCUUGCAUGUAGUGUCCAACCAAGAUCUAGUCCCCGGACUCUUCCUCCCAUCCGGCAGAUCUCCUCCCACAUCCUCCCAUUCACAAACUACUGGUUACAAGCCCUUUGGGACAUAUCUCUUGUGCUCUGAACUUGGUUGUGCUUGUUUUGACAACCCUGAUUUAAUUUUGGAAUUGCUGAAAGUCAUAUCAUCAGAGGUUGCCGGAGGAUUGCGGGAUGUUGAUUACAGGAAGAUUUUAAUAAACCUCAAGGAGAGGGCAAUCUUCAAGGGACUUCAGCAGGUGGGUGAAAGGUUUGCAGAUCCCUUGUCAGCUGGGAUCGUCAUGGACCUUGAGAUAAUUGGAUUUGAUCAAACAAAGGUAAACAGCUUUCUCCCAAUUAAUGAUGUAGUAUGGUUUACACUCAACUUCACCAAAACCUGCAACAACUGCCCUAUUUAGAUUUGCCUUCCUGUUCUUUGGGUUCUUCUAUAACUUCUCAUUUUUUAAAUUCAUGGCAGCUGUUGCGGCACAACAUUGAUAUCAACACUGUGAUAAGGAUACUGGGAGUGGAAGCCAGAAUCCUAGCCCACAAAAAUAAAGCUUCUGAUGCCAAGAAACUGAAUGACAUAAAAAUACACAUGGCCCAGCUAGAAUGGUAUAAGAAGAAAUCAAAAGAUCUGAACAAGGGUUACUACGACUGCUUCAAAAACCAGGGGUCAAAAAGGGACAUUAAAAUUGAACAGUAUAGGGGACACCUCACAAUAUACUGGAAAGACAUGGUUGCACAAGUACAGAGGAAGCCCCAGAAGGAAGGAGCAUCAUUUCGAACCAGUUGGCUCUAUCCAGGGACAACUUAUAGAAGAAUGGUUGAACCACUGGACAUUGCUGCCUUCUACAGAGAGGGUAGAACAGACUACAUAAACAAUGGAAGAUCUCCUCAUUACAAGCUGUUGCAGCAAUGGUAUGAGGAAGAUGUGAAGCCCCCAUCCAGAGAUAAGCUCGAUUCCAAGAAACUAAAGGUGUCUGGUAUCCUAACUGAGGAUUCUUUGUUUUGGGCACAUGUGGAGGAGGCUCUCUUGUCAUGCGAAUCGCUCAAGAGUGCAAACUCUACUCUUGAGCAGAGAAAAUCAUCAUGGGAUAAUCUGGUUAAGUUUGGGGAGUAUGUAAUGGAACAGAUUGGAAACUAUGCAGUGUCCCCUGAGAUUUUCUUGGGGGAAAGCAGCUUCAUGAAAUGGUGGGGAGUGUAUGAGGACUACAUAGAUGCUUCCAAUAAUUCCUAUGGGUCACCAUUGAUCAGCUUUAUGAAGAACCGUAGUUAUAGACUGUAUGGUUAGAGGGCAAUCCAGUUUGUGUAUUGUGUUUAUUGUAUUGUGAGCAUUCAAUAGAUAAAACUAGAAAGAGCGUGACCUUUUUAUGACAACUUUAGAAACCAGGGGUUAAAAGAGACAUUACAAACUGAAGUUUUUGAGAGGAAACCUCAAGAGUAUACUGGGAAGCCAUGGUGGAACAAGUAGAGAGGAAGCCUCAGAAGGAAGGAGCAAUGGUUGAACCACUUGACAUUGUUGCCUACUACAGGGAGGGUGUAAGAAACAACAUAACCGAGGGAAGAUCUGAACGUUAAACGUUGUCCAAUUAUUAUAAAUGUCUUAUACAUUACGUGUGAAAAUACCAAAAAAAAUUAUAUUCAACAUUUAUGUUUGUAUACAAGCAAUAUUUUGGAUAGUUUGAUAUAAAAAACAAAUGAAGAAAAUGAAGAAAAACAUACAAAUAUAUUUACAAUGGACAAACUUAUACAAUUAGUAUAAAUGUCUUGUAUAUUUAGUACAAAUGUCUCGUACUUUGUAAAAAUAUAAAAAUAUAGUAUUUGACUUUUAUAUAUGUGUGAAAAUGUAAAAAGAAAAAGAAAAAUAGUUAGAGCAUUUGGUACCGUGAGUGAUGACUUCACCUAAAGAAAGGUUAAUGAAUAUUAUGGUCUCGAUGGAAGAGCGACUCCGGUAAAAUAUAUGGAUUAAAUUGAUGCUUUUCUUUUGACGAUGAAGUAGUUGAGUUAUGAAUACGAGGUUUUGCUAACAGCAUUGAAGGCAAGGAUUCCCUAAUAUACUCCAAUUCAUAUUCAAUUUGUAGACCUUCAACUAACUACUCUUGCUAACGAGCAUAUCCAAGUCAAUACAUAAGAUUAAUUAAGAUUAAGUAUUACGUAUGAUAAUUGAAACCCUAUUUAAAUAAAUAAUGACACAUAUAUAAAAAAUAUAUAUAUUUUUAAAAAAAUAAAUAACAAUUUAGAGAAUUUCAUAACUUAGCAUCAAACCUAUUGUAAGAAAGAGUAUUAUACAAUGUAGGGUUUAGGAUCCAAGUCAACCUAAGAUCAAAUUUAAGUUUUAAGAUCAAUUCACAUUCAAAACUAAGGUUUUAAGUUUCAAAAAUAUAUUUCUUAAACCAAUUAAAUGGAAAAAAGAAAAUUACAAAGAAAAUUUCUCCCUCAUCAGUUUCUUUUAUCUUGAAAACUAAAGGAAAUAUAUAUCAAUAUUUGAGAUGGAAAUUCAUAAUCUUAGGUGGUGUUUGUUUUUUUGGCUUUUUGCUGAAAACUAUUUAGUUUUAGAAUUUAGGUUUUUUUUUUUUUUUACUUUUUCAUGACUUAUAAUAAACUUUUUACUAAAUAGAAAAAACCAAAAUAUGUGGUUUUUUCUAAAUAGAAAAAAUAACACAAUGGUUUUUUUUACUUUUUAAUACUUAAUAGAAAUAAAAUACUACAAAAACAAACAUCUUAAUAUUUAAUACUAUUAAGUAUUAAGGUUCUAUUUAGAAUUAAGUAAAAAAACAAACACCACCUUAGAAACACAAAGAACAAAGAGAGUAUGAAGAGACCAUACCAUGAGAGAUUUUCCGAAAGGUUGGUAAACCAUGGUAAUCACCUUUGAGUCUUGCUGAGAAAAACAAACCUUAUUUAUUUUUAUUUUUUUAUCAUUUUUUCUCUUGUGUGGUGUACAUUUAAGAAAAACAAAUCUCAAAAAAAAAAAAAAACACAAACCAAAUAAUGCCAGAAUUUGGGUUGAGAAACACCCAAAAGAUAGUGGCCCAAUACAUGUGCCUAAGAAAAUCUUCAUGAGCCGAUAAACAUAGUCACAAAACUAGUAACAGCCUUGUAGCCAUAGUUGGUGUAGUAUGAGCAAGUGGGGUAUGAAGUAGGUAGGUGAGUAUUGCAAUGAAAUUUCCAGCACUGCUUCCUGAAUUAAGAAAUCACAUACCCAAGUCUUAGUCGUCGUCGUCGUCGUACCGUGUGAGAACCGGGAAGAAUCUUUGCUCGUAGACUGGCUUUUGUAGUCUUUCUUUAACAAUUACAAGUUAUCUGAAUUCCCUUCAUCCUCCUAUAUAAUAUUGUUUUGGUCUUGUUCUUGUUGCAUUGUGGCUAGGCAUCUCCAUGGAAGGAAGGAGGAUGAAUCAAGUUCCUUUGUAUGAAUCAAUUUCUCUGCUCUUUUUUUUUUUCAAUCCUUGAAUCGAAUCAUUGCUUAGUUCUUGCUUUAAUUUCUCCAUUUUCUGUUGGGUCUUUGAUUGCAGGUUUAGCUCUGCAAGAGAACUGGGAAAUUUAAUUGUGACCUCCAAUCUAAUCGACUCUGCUUUGACUAAAAUUCUUGAGCUUCAAAGAGACCAAACAGCCUUGCUUUCCCCCGUUCAAUACAGAGUUUUUUUAUCCAUCUCCCAACUGCACAAUUGUAGCUUUUGUCUCUUCACCUGACUGCACUCAAAACCCUCUUCCUGGACAAGGAGAUUUAGUUCCCUCUCCUCUCUUUGACUUCCUCUGCACCGAAGAAUACAAGUCCGUCUCCAUUAACAGAGCUGCAUUAACCCUCUUUACCUCUCUCCACGAUCAUCUCUCUGGACUAAAAACUCAGGUCAAAAUAUGAUAGUUGUUUUUAUUUUCGUUUCCUUUUUGUUAACAAUUGUGAGACAUGAAACAGCUUGACCAUGAGAUCUCUCUCAUAGAGUCAAACUACCUGAAGAAGAAGAAGACGUUACACAUAUCCAUCUGCGUUGCAUCAUCGCAUUACCCAUUGAUCGGUUGUGAUUCAACUCUUAAUAGGAAGACAGUAGAACUGGUGUUGGUAUCUGUUUUUAGAUCAGCUUAUAUGUAUCUUGUUGCUAAAAAGGGAAUGUUUAGAAGUGAGAUUAAUGGGAUUAUUCUGACAUGGAUUUCAUAUGGUUACCUGUUUUGCAGUUGACUGUGAUUGAAGGUCAAUUAAUCAUCACUGGGCACUCCCUGGGAGGAGCCGUUGCUUCUCUCUUCACCUUAUGCCUGCUAGAUGAAAAUUUAUUAAAACCCAAAUGCCGCCCCUUUUGUAUCACCUUUGGUUCACCCCUCGUCGGCGGCUUUGGCCUCCAACACUCCAUAUGGAAUUCUUUCUUCCUGCAUGUAGUGUCUAACCAAGACCCAGUCCCCGGUCUCUUCCUCCCAUCUGGCAGAGGCAGAUCUACGCCCACAUCCUCCCAUUCACAAACUACCGGUUACAAGCCCUUUGGGACAUAUCUCUUGUGCUCUGAACUUGGUUGUGCUUGUUUUGACAACCCUGAUUUAAUUUUGGAAUUGCUGAAAGUCAUAUCAUCAGAGGUUGCCGGAGGAUUGCAGGAUGUUGAUUAUGGGGAGAUUUUAAGAAACCUCAAGGAGAGGGCAAUCUGCAAGGGACUUCCGCAGGUGGGUGAAAGGUUUGCAAAUCCAUUUUCAGCUGGGAUCAUCAUGGAACUUGAGACAAUUGGAUUUAAUCAAACAAAGGUAAACAGCUUUCUCCCAUCUAAUGAUGUUAUGGAACAUGGUUUACACCUCAUUAAAUACUGCAACAACUGCCCUAUUUAGAUUUACCUUCUUGUUCUUUGGGAUUUUCCAUAACUAGACUCAUUUUUUAAUUUCAUGGCAGCUGCUGCAGCAUAACAUUGAUAUCGAGACUGUGAUAAGCGCAAUGGAAGCGGAAGCAAGAAACCUAACCCAGAAAAAUAAAGCUUCCGAUGCCAAGAAACUGAAUGAAAUAAAAAUAGACAUGACCCGGCUAGAAUUGUAUAAGAAGAAUUCGAACAUGGGUUACUACGAUUGCUUCAAAAACCAGGGGUCUAAAAGGGACAUCCACGUUGAACAGUUUAGGGUAAACCUCACAGGGUACUGGGAAGGCAUGGUUGCACAAAUACAGAGGAAGCCUCAUAAGGAAGGAGCAACAUUUCGAACCCGUUGGCUCUAUGCAGGGACGGUUUAUAGAAGAAUGGUUGAACCACUGGACAUUGCUGCCUUCUACAGAGAGGGUAGAAAAGACUACAUGAAUAAAAGAUCUGCACAUUACAAGCUGUUGCAGGAAUGGUAUGAGGAAGAUGUGAAACCCCCCUCUAGAGAUAAGCUUGAUUCCAAGAAGCAAAAGGUGUCCAGUAUCCUAACUGAGGAUUCUUGCUUUUGGGCACAUGUGGAGGAGGCUAUCUUGUCAUGCGAAUUGCUCAAGAGUGAAAACUGUAAUCUUGAGGAGGGAAAAUCAUCAUGGGAUAAUCUGGUUAAGUUCGAGGAGUAUGUAAUGGAACAGAUUGACAACUAUGCAGUGUCCCCUGAGAUUUUCUUGGAGAAAAGCAGCUUCAUGAAAUGGAGGGGACUGUAUGAGGGCUACAUAGAUACUCGCAGUAAUUCCCAUAGCUCGCCAUUGAUCAGCUUUAUGAAGAAUCGUAGUUAUAGACAAUAUGGAUAGAGGGGUAAUCCAGUUUGUGUGUUGUGUGUAUUGUUUUGUGAGCAUUCAAUGGAUAGAACUAGAAAGAGUGUGACCUUUUCCUUUUUUUUUUCAGUUGCUGCCCAUAUUCUCAGCACUAUUUUCUUCCUUCUUUUCCUCAGUUUUUUUGUUAAGAAAUGAAUAUUAUGAUGUUGCCGGGAUGCACUUUCAUUUUUGUUCCAUUACAUUGUGUUUUAUUCAUAUCCUAAACAAAUAAAUGUAAACAAGAAAAUCAAAUGAGACUUCAAAGAGUCUGUUCCUUUUAAAGCAAGGGAAAAAAAGGACAUGUUUGUUUACUUCCACAGCUGGGUAGAUUCAACUCCACCAAAAUUGGCAACAACUUCCCAUUGAAAAAUUCCUUUUAAGCUUGAAUGACAUAAAACUAGAUAUGUUCCAGCUAGAAUGGUACAAGAAAGAAAUCAAAAGAUGAGCACAAUGGGUUAUUAUGACAGCUUUAGAAACCUGGGGUGUAAAAGAGACAUUAAAAUGGAACCGAGGGGAAGACAUUGUAGAACAAGUAAAGAGGAAGCCUCACCAGGAAGGGCAGCUUUGCAAACCCUCUGGCUCUGUACAGGAACGAAUUAUAGAAAGAUGGUUGAACCACUUGACAUUGCUGCCUACCACAGAGAGGGUGGAAGAAACUACAUAACCAAUGGAGGAUGUAAACAUUACACGCUAUUAGAGCAAUGAUGCAAUGAAGAGAAGGGGACUUUGUCUUCCAAUAAUUUAAGAAAAUAAAACCAAAUAAUGCCAGAAUUUGGGUUGAGAAACACCCAAAAGAUAGUGGCCCAAUAUGAAGUAGUCACAAAACUAGUAACAGCCUUGUGGCCAUAGUUGGUGUAGUAUGAGCAAGUGGGGUAUGAAGUAGGUAGGUGAGUAUUGCAAUGAAAUUUCCAGCACUGCUUCCUGAAUUAAGAAAUCACAUACUCAAGUCUUAAUCGUUGUCAUCAUACCGUGUGAGAACCGAGGAAGAAUCUUUGCUCUUAGACUGGAUUUUGUAGUCUUUCUUUAACAAUUACAAGUUAUCUGAAUUCCCUUCAUCCUCCUAUAUAAUAUUGUUUUUGGUCUUGUUCUUGUUGCAUUGUGGCUAGGCAUCUCCAUGGGAGGAAGGAGGAUGAAUCAAGUUCCUUUGUAUGAAUCAAUUUCUCUGCUCUUUUUUUUUUCAAUCCUUGAAUCGAAUCAUUGCUUAGUUCUUGCUUUAAUUUCUCCAUUUUCUGUUGGGUCUUUGAUUGCAGGUUUAGCUCUGCAAGAAAACUGGGAAAUUUAAUUGUGACCUCCAAUCUAAUCGACUCUGCUUUGACUAAAAUUCUUGAGCUUCAAAGAGACCAAACAGCCUUGCCUUCCCCCGUUCAAUACAGAGUUUUUUAUCCAUCUCCCAACUGCACAAUUGUAGCUUUUGUCUCUUCACCUGACUGCACUCAAAACCCUCUUCCUGGACAAGGAGAUUUAGUUCCCUCUCCUCUCUUUGACUUCCUCUGCACCGAAGAAUACAAGUCCGUCUCCAUUAACAGAGCUGCAUUAACCCUCUUUACCUCUCUCCACGAUCAUCUCUCUGGACUAAAAACUCAGGUCAAAAUAUGAUAGUUGUUUUUAUUUUCGUUUCCUUUUUGUUAACAAUUGGGAGACAUGAAACAGCUUGACCAUGAGAUCUCUCUCAUAGAGUCAAACUACCUGAAGAAGAAGAAGACGUUACACAUAUCCAUCUGCGCUGCAUCAUCGCAUUACCCAUUGAUCGGUUGUGAUUCAACUCUUAAUAGGAAGACAGUAGAACUGGUGUUGGUAUCUGUUUUUAGAUCAGCUUAUAUGUAUCUUGUUGCUAAAAAGGGAAUGUUUAGAAGUGAGAUUAAUGGGAUUAUUCUGACAUGGAUUUCAUAUGGUUACCUGUUUUGCAGUUGACUGUGAUUGAAGGUCGAUUAAUCAUUACUGGGUACUCGAUGGGAGGAUCCGUUGCUUCUCUCUUCACCUUAUGCCUGUUAGAAGUCAUCAAUUUAUCAAAACCCAAAUGCCGCCCCAUUUGUAUCACCUUUGGUUCACCCCUCAUAGGCGACUUUGGCCUCCAACACUCCAAUUGGAAUUCUUUCUUCUUGCAUGUAGUGUCCAACCAAGAUCUAGUCCCCGGACUCUUCCUCCCAUCCGACAGAUCUCCUCCCACAUCCUCCCAUUCACAAACUACUGGUUACAAGCCCUUUGGGACAUAUCUCUUGUGCUCUGAACUUGGUUGUGCUUGUUUUGACAACUCUGAUUUAAUUUUGGAAUUGCUGAAAGUCAUAUCAUCAGAGGUUGCCAGAGGAUUGCGGGAUGUUGAUUACAGGAAGAUUUUAAGAAACCUCAAGGAGAGGGCAAUCUGCAAGGGACUUCCGCAGGUGGGUGAAAGGUUUGCAAAUCCAUUUUCAGCUGGGAUCAUCAUGGAACUUGAGACGAUUGGAUUUAAUGAAACAAAGGUAAACAGCUUUCUCCCAUCUACUGAUGUUAUGGAACAUGGUUUACACAUCAUUAAAUACUGCAACAACUGCCCUAUUUAGAUUUAGGGCAAUGAUGAAAAUAUCAGUAAUCACGGAUAUAUCAGUAUUUCGAUUUUACGGAUAUAUCGGAUAUAUCGGAGAUAUAUCGGUAGAUAUUUUGAAAAAAAAUAUCGGCAAGCUUAAAAUUGUUAAAAACUCAUGAAAAUAUAAGAAAAUCUCAUAAUAAUAUAAUUAAAAGUAUAAUAGACAUUUUAAAGUUAUUUUAUUGAAAAUUUUGAUAUAUGUAUAACAUGAUUUAUCAUAUUUGAUAAUAAUAUCGUAUGCGUCGAUAAAAAUAUGAAUUUUAUAAGUGUACAUUUAUUAUUAAAUUACACCUAAUAUUAUGAUAUCUGAUUAUAAUAUGUCUAAUUUUAAAAUAUAUAUUAGUAUUAAAAUAUGAUCCAUUUAAUUCAAUUGUAUUAAACAAUAUAAAAUAAAUAAUGAUAUAUAUAUAUAUAUAUAUAAUUUUUUAAUAUUUAAUUAAUUAUUAAUGAUAUUAAAAACAUUAUGAAGAAAAUUAUAUAAUUUUUUAAUUUUUGGUAAUUAAUUAAAAGACUUUGCAUUUAAUUAUAAAUUAAUUAUAAUUAAUUUACUCUUUAAAAUAUUCUUAUAUUUUCUUUAUAUAAUGAAUUUAAGUAUAUAUAUAGUUGUUGCAUAUUAUAUAUUAAAGGACAACUUAGCCCAAGUGGUAAGCGAGUGAACCCCAAUGUGAGGCAUUGUAGCACGUGCACUGUAGCAUCACUGUAGCGACUCUGACUUUCGUUGACCCGCAUUGACUACACGAUAUAUCGGAGAAAAAUCACUGAUUUAUCGCCAAAUCACCAAUAAAUCGCCGAUUUCUCGCGAUAAAUACCAAAAUAUAGUGUCGAAACCCUUCGAUACACGAUUUUUCGGCGCAUUUUCUUACUUGGAUUUACCUUUUUGUUCUUUGGGAUCUUCCAUGACUCAUUUUUUAAUGCCAUUUUAUUUUCCUUUUUGUUUCUAAAUUUUUAAAAAAUCGUUUUCACUUCUUUUUUUUAAGAAAAUUUUGGCAAAUUUUGAAAAUAUAAUAUUAGUGUUUUCACUUCUUUCUUUUUUUUUUUUUUCUUUUUUUUUUUAAACUCAAUUUUCUAAAAAAUGAAAAUAGAAAAACAUUGUCUAAACAUGUUUGUAAACUUAAUUUUAUUUUUUUAUAAAUGAAAAAAAAAAUCUAAAUGAGUAAGGCUUUAUUAAUUUUAAUUUUUUUCUUUUCCUUAUAUUUUCUUAUUUUAUUCCAAAUUUUCUUGCAACCAAACAUAAUCUAAAUGUUUACAACUUUUAUUGUAAGGAAUGAAUGACACUACUUUGUGAACUUUUAUGAUAAUAUUUUGAAUCAUAAAUUGUGUUUUUUUUAGUAAUAUCAAUUUUAUUACCAAUGACUUAAUUGUUAAUAACAAAAUAUAAUAUUUAUAAAUAUUUUUAUUCUCAACAGGCUACAAUUUUUACUCUUGUGAUAAAAAAAAUUUUGUCAUAAAUUACACAUUAUGAUGAGUUUUUCUAUUUUCCUUAUCAGCCAAUUCAACAAAUAUCAUAUAUAUUGUAAUGGCUAACAAAUUUUCACAUAAAUUUUUUAUAAGAUAAAGUAGAAUGGAAUUAUUCAAUUUCAAAAAAAAAAAAAAUGGUACCUAAUGAAAAAGAUAAAAUAUAUAGAUCAUCUCGAAGAAAUCAGGAAAGAUAAAUGAUGAGACCAUAUAUAGGACCCUUGAUGGAGACUAUUUUAAUUGAAGUGGUGUGCUCCUUCCGACUCAGAACAUGUUCAGCAUUGCACACAAACUAACAUCGUCGAUCUUGAGUAUGAAAAAGGUGAUUAGAUUCCAAGGUUGUCGUUUGUCCCAACUCCUCAUAUUAGAGGUGAUGCUCAAGCUAACGUGCCUCGCAGUUGAGCCCCGGCCAAUCGGUCUAAUAUGCUUUUCCAAUGGUGAGUUUCACUGCCACCAUGUAUUACAUUAAUUCCGAUAGCGCACAAGUUGUGUUUGUGCUAUUGCUUUUUGCCCUCACAAACAUAUACACAAGAGACAUUCAGACCAGAUCUGUUCUACCAUCCUCUAGGAAAGCAUUGUAGGUCAUUUGAAAUUGGGAUUUCAGCACCAGAGUCAAAUUGCCUUCCUUCCUGAAAGAUGAGCAUUUUUUAUACUCUUACAUCGGCUUUUAUGGAAAUGAAAUCAGCUUCUCAUUCUGUUACAUUUUUCAAUUUUGCUGCCUAUAACUGCUCACUGCCUGUUUGUGAGACAUUAUCCAGAUUUUCCCUGAUCAAUUAUAGAGAGGUCAUUGGACUCAUCCAUGAUUGGAAUUUCCUGUUAUCAUUAUUUGCAAAUCAUCAACCAUUUGUCAUGAUAUCUUAAGUUAAGCUGAGCACGAAUUUCAGCUAAGAUCCUCAGAACUAGAAAUAUGCACUGCAGGUAUUACUUGAUAUGUGAAUAUCCAAUACAAUAUUUUUUUACUAAGAGGAAUACGAAUUUGAAACACUUUCCAAUAAUUUAUCAAGUCAUAUUUUCGUGCUGUCGUGAUACAUGUGUCUACUGUAUGCAUGGCUUUUCUUUUCUACACAUGCCUUUAUCUUUGCACAUGACUCUUUUGAUACACGCCAGCAUCAAGGCAAUUGCCUAAAUCUAAAUCACAUCCUUUGUGUCACGUCUUCCUUGUUACCACGGUCCUCUUGUACACCAUGGUCCCUUAAUGUAACUUGUGCCACAAGCCCUUUGUGCAUGAAUUCAAAUUGUUCAAUCAUUUCGCCAUUUACACCUUUUAAGGUCCAAUAAGCGUAUACAAGAGACUACACUCAUUCUAGAUGAUAAAGUACAUUCAACUAACUACUCUUGCUAAUGAGCAUAUCCAAGUCAAUACAUAAGAUUAAUUAUUACAUAUGGUAAUUGAAACCCUGUUUAAAUAAAUAGUGACACAAAUAUAAAAAAUAUAUAUAUUUAAAAAUAAAUAAAUAACAAUUUAGAGAAUUUCAUAACUUAGUAUCAAACCUAUUGUAGGAAAGAGUAUUAUACAAUGUAGGGUUUAGGAUCAAAGUUAACCUAAGAUCAAUUUUAAGUUUUAAGACCAAUUCAAAUUCAAAACUAAGGUUUUAAGUUUCAAAAAUAUAUCUCUUAAACCAAUUAAAUAGAAAAAAGAAAAUUACAAAGAAAAUUUCUUCCUCAUCGGUUUCUUUUAUCUUGAAAACUAAAGGAAAUAUAUAUCAAUAUUUGAGAUGGAAAUUCAUAAUCUUAGAAACACAAAGAACAAAGAGAGUAUGAAGAGACCAUACCAUGAGAGAUUUUCCAAAAGGUUGGUAAACCAUGGUAAUCACCUUUGAGUUUUGCUGAGAAAAACAAACCUUAAUUUUUAUUUUUAUUUUUUUAUCAUUUUUUCUCUUGUGGUGUACAUUUAAGAAAAACAAAUCUUAAAAAAAAAAAAAAAAAAACCAAAUAAUGCCAGAAUUUGGGUUGAGAAACACCCAAAAGAUAGUGGCCCAAUACAUGUGCCUAAGAAAAUCUUCAUGAGCCGAUAAACAUAGUCACAAAACUAGUAACAGCCUUGUAGCCAUAGUUGGUGUAGUAUGAGCAAGUGGGGUAUGAAGUAGGUAGGUGAGUAUUGCAAUGAAAUUUCCAGCACUGCUUCCUGAAUUAAGAAAUCACAUACCCAAGUCUUAGUCGUCGUCGUCGUACCGUGUGAGAACCGGGAAGAAUCUUUGCUCGUAGAGUGGCUUUUGUAGUCUUUCUUUAACAAUUACAAGUUAUCUGAAUUCCCUUCAUCCUCCUAUAUAAUAUUGUUUUUGGUCUUGUUCUUGUUGCAUUGUGGCUAGGCAUCUCCAUGGAAGGAAGGAGGAUGAAUCAAGUUCCUUUGUAUGAAUCAAUUUCUCUGCUCUUUUUCUUUUCAAUCCGUGAAUCGAAUCAUUGCUUAGUUCUUGCUUUAAUUUCUCCAUUUUCUGUUGGGUCUUUGACUGCAGGUUUAGCUCUGCAAGAGAACUGGGAAAUUUAAUGGUGACCUCCAAUCUAAUCGACUCUGCUUUGACUAAAAUUCUUGAGCUUCAAAGAGACCAAACAGCCUUGCUUUCCUCCGUUCAAUACAGAGUUUUUUAUCCAUCUCCCAAGUGCACAAUUGUAGCUUUUGUCUCUUCACCUGACUGCACUCAAAACCCUCUUCCUGGACAAGGAGAUUUAGUUCCGUCUCCUCUCUUUGACUUCCUCUGCACCGAAGAAUACAAGUCCGUCUCCAUUAACAGAGCUGCAUUAACCCUCUUUACCUCUUUCCACGAUCAUCUCUCUGGACUAAAAACUCAGGUCAAAAUAUGAUAGUUGUUUUUAUUUUCGUUUCCUUUUUGUUAACAAUUGUGAGACAUGAAACAGCUUGACCAUGAGAUCUCUCUCAUAGAGUCAAACUACCUGAAGAAGAAGAAGACGUUACACAUAUCCAUCUGCGUUGCAUCAUCGCAUUACCCAUUGAUCGGUUGUGAUUCAACUCUUAAUAGGAAGACAGUAGAACUGGUGUUGGUAUCUGUUUUUAGAUCAGCUUAUAUGUAUCUUGUUUCUAAAAAAGGUAAGUUUAGAAGUGAGAUUAAUGGGAUUAUUCUGACAUGGAUUCCAUAUGGUUACCUGUUUUGCAGUUGACUCAGAUUGAAGGUCAAUUAAUCAUCACUGGGCACUCCCUGGGAGGAUCCGUUGCUUCUCUCUUCACCUUAUGCCUGCUAGAUGGAAAUUUAUUAAAACCCAACUGCCGCCCCUUUUGUAUCACCUUUGGUUCACCCCUCAUCGGCGGCUUUGGCCUCCAACACUCCAUAUGGAAUUCUUUCUUCCUGCAUGUAGUGUCUAACCAAGACCCAGUCCCCGGUCUCUUCCUCCCAUCUGGCAGAGGCAGAUCUACGCCCACAUCCUCCCAUUCACAAACUACCGGUUACAAGCCCUUUGGGACAUAUCUCUUGUGCUCUGAACUUGGUUGUGCUUGUUUGGAAAAGCCUGAUUUAAUUUUGGGAUUGCUGAAAGUCAGAUCAUCCGAGGUUGCCGGAGGAUUGCAGGAUGUUGAUUAUGGGGAGAUUUUAAGAAACCUCAAGGAGAGGGCAAUCUGCAAGGGACUUCAGCAGGUGGGUGAAAGGUUUGCAGAUCCUUUUACAGCUGGGAUCAUCAUGGACCUUGAGAUAAUUGGAUUUGAUCAAACAAAGGUAAACAGCUAGCUUUCUCCCAUCUAAUGAUGUUAUGAAACAUGGUUUACACUUCACCAAAUACUGCAACAACUGCCCUAUUUAGAUUUGCCGUCUUGUUCUUUGGGAUCUUCCAUAACUAGACUCAUUUUUUAAUUUCAUGGCAGCUGCUGCAGCAUAACAUUGAUAUCGAGACUGUGAUAAGCACAAUGGAAGAGGAAGCCAGAAACCCAACCAAAAAAAAUAAAGCUUUCGAUGCCAAGAUUCUGAAUCACAAAAAAAAAGACAUGGCCGGGCUAGAAUGGUAUAAGAAGAAAUCAAAAGAUCUGAACAAGGGUUACUACGACUGCUUCAAAAACCAGGGGUCAAAAAGGGACAUUAAAAUUGAACAGUAUGGGGGACACCUCACAUUAUACUGGAAAGACAUGGUUGCACAAGUACAGAGGAAGCCCCAGAAGGAAGGAGCAACAUUUCGAACCCGUUGGCUCUAUGCAGGGACGGUUUAUAGAAGAAUGGUUGAACCACUGGACAUUGCUGCCUUCUACGUAGAGGGUGGAACAGACUACAUGAAGAAUGAAAGAUCUCUUCAUUACAAGCUGUUGCAGCAAUGGUAUGAGGAAGAUGUGAAACCCCCCUCUAAGGAUAAGCUUGAUUCCAAGAAGCAAAAGGUGUCUGGUAUCCUAACUGAGGAUUCUUGCUUUUGGGCACAUGUGGAGGAGGCUAUCUUGUCAUGCGAAUUGCUUAAGAGUGAAAACUGUACUCUUGAGCAGGAAAAAUCAUCAUGGGAUAAUCUGGUUAAGUUCGAGGAGUAUGUAAUGGAACAGAUUAACAACUAUGCAGUGUCCCCUGAGAUUUUCUUGGGGGAAAGCAGCUUCAUGAAAUGGUGGGGACUGUAUGAGGGCUACAUAUAUGCUCGCAGUAAUUCCCAUAGGUCACCAUUGAUCAGCUUUAUGAAGAACGGUAGUUAUACAGAGUAUCGUUAGAGGGGUAAUCCAGUUUGUGUGUUGUGUGUAUUGUUUUGUGAGCAUUCAAUGGAUAGAACUAGAAAGAGUGUGACCUUUUUCCUUUUUUUCUUCUAGUUGCUGCCCAUAUUCUCAGCACUAUUUUCUUCCUUCUUUUCCUCAGUUUUUUCUUAAGAAAUGAAUAUUAUGAUGUUGCUGGGAUGCACUUUCAUUUUUGUUCCAUUACAUUGUGUUUUAUUCAUAUCCUAAACAAAUAAAUGUAAACAAGAAAAUCAAAUAAGACUUCAAAGAGUCUGUUCCUUUUAAAGCAAGGGAAAAAAAGGACAUGUUUGUUUACUUCCACAGCUGGGUAGAUUCAACUCCACCAAAAUUGGCAACAACUUCCCAUUGAAAAAUUCCUUCUAAGCUUGAAUGACAUAAAACUAGAUAUGUUCCAGCUAGAAUGGUACAAAAAAGAAAUCAAAAGAUGAGCACAAUGGGUUAUUAUGACAGCUUUAGAAACCAUCUUACAACACAUCCAUCAGAAUUUAGACUAUUCAUAGAAACAUUCUUAACAUGUAAAUCUACUAUUGCCAUGCACGUCAACAUAGAAUUUCUAAAAUGAUUGAAUAAAAUAAAUAAAACAAAAGAAACCCUUCCAAGAGAAUUUCAUAAUCUAAUGUCAAAUCUAUUACGAAGAUGAACAUGUAAAAUUUAAGGUUUAUAAUCAAAGUCGACUUGAAUCUGAGUUUUAAAACCAAUUUGCAGUUUUUAAGUUUGGAGACUAGAUCUCUUAAACCAAUUAAAUGUAAAAAACUAAAAAGAAAACUUCUUCAAAUUUUGAAAUGAGAAUGAGAAUGCAAUUCCUAACUAGUUUCUUCAUCAAAAAUCCCGAAAAAAAAAAAAAAAGAAGAGAGAGAGAGACCAUAGACGCCAGUGUUUGGGUUUAGAACCACCCAAGAGAGAGUAGUCCAAUAUAUGGGCUUAAGAAAAUCCUCAUGGGCCUAAGCUAAGACUAGGAACAAUCUUGUAUCCGUGGUUGGUUUAGUAUGAGCAUGUGUACUGCGAAGGAAGUAGCUGAGAAUUGCAAUGGAAUUUCCAGUACUGCUUCCUGAACGAACAAAUCGCAUACCCAAGAUUUGGUCGUCAACGCCAUGCUGGGUGAGAACCGGGGAAGCAUCUUCGCUCGUUGACGAGCUUUUGUAGUCCUUCUUUAACAAUUAUAAGGCAUCUGAAUUCCCUUCAUCCUCCCACACCAUUGUUUUUGGUCUUGUUCUUGUUGCUUUGUGACUACGCAUCUCCAUGGAAGGAAGGAGGAUGAACCAAGUUCCUUUGUAUGCAUCAAUUUUACUGUUUUUUUUUUCCUUUUUAAUCUUUGGAUCGAAUCAUUGCUUAGUUCUUGCUUAAUUUCUCCAUUUUAUGUUGGGUCUUUGAUUGCAGGUUUAGCUCUGCGCGAGAACUGGGAAAUUUAAUUGUGACCUCCAAUCUAAUCGACUCUGCUUUGACUAAAAUUCUUGAGCUUCAAAGAGACCAAACAGCCUUGCCUUCCCCCGUUCAAUACAGAGUUUUUUAUCCAUCUCCCAAGUGCACAAUUGUAGCUUUUGUCUCUUCACCUGACUGCACUCAAAACCCUCUUCCUGGACAAGGAGAUUUAGUUCCCUCUCCUCUCUUUGACUUCCUCUGCACCGAAGAAUACCCUUCCGUCUCCAUUAACGGAGCCGCAUUAACCCUCUUUACCUCUCUCUACGAUCAUCUCUCUGGACUAAUAGAUGAGGUCAAAAUCUGAUACUUGUUUUAAUUUACGUUAACUUUUCGUUAACAAUUGUGAGACACGUAUAUAUAUAUAUAUAUAUAUAUAUCUUGUGGAUAAAAGGAAAGUUUACAAGUGAGAAUAGUGGCAUUUUUCUGACAGAUUUCACACCGUUGCUUGUUUUGCACUUGACUGUGAUUGAAGGUCGAUUAAUCAUCACUGGGCACUCGAUGGGAGGAUCCGUUGCUUCUCUCUUCACCUUAUGCCUGCUAGAAGUCAUUAAUAUAUCAAAACCCAAAUGCCGCCCCAUUUGCAUCACAUUUGGUUCACCCCUCAUAGGCGACUUUGGCUUCCAACACUCCAAUUGGAAUUCUUUCUUCUUGCAUGUAGUGUCCAACCAAGAUCUAGUCCCCGGACUCUUCCUCCCAUCCGGCAGAUCUCCUCCCACAUCCUCCCAUUCACAAACUACUGGUUACAAGCCCUUUGGGACAUAUCUCUUGUGCUCUGAACUUGGUUGUGCUUGUUUUGACAACCCUGAUUUAAUUUUGGAAUUGCUGAAAGUCAUAUCAUCAGAGGUUGCCGGAGGAUUGCGGGAUGUUGAUUACAGGAAGAUUUUAAUAAACCUCAAGGAGAGGGCAAUCUUCAAGGGACUUCAGCAGGUGGGUGAAAGGUUUGCAGAUCCCUUGUCAGCUGGGAUCAUCAUGGACCUUGAGAUAAUUGGAUUUGAUCAAACAAAGGUAAACAGCUUUCUCCCAAUUAAUGAUGUAGCAUGGUUUACACUCAACUUCACCAAAACCUGCAACAACUGCCCUAUUUAGAUUUGCCUUCCGGUUCUUUGGGUUCUUCUAUAACUUCUCAUUUUUUAAAUCCAUGGCAGCUGUUGCGGCACAACAUUGAUAUCAACACUGUGAUAAGGAUACUGGGAGCGGAAGCCAGAAUCCUAGCCCACAAAAAUAAAGCUUCUGAUGCCAAGAAACUGAAUGACAUAAAAAUACACAUGGCCCAGCUAGAAUGGUAUAAGAAGAAAUCAAAAGAUCUGAACAAGGGUUACUACGACUGCUUCAAAAACCAGGGGUUAAAAAGGGACAUUAAAAUUGAACAGUAUAGGGGACACCUCACAAUAUACUGGAAAGACAUGGUUGCACAAGUACAGAGGAAGCCCCAGAAGGAAGGAGCAUCAUUUCGAACCAGUUGGCUCUAUCCAGGGACAACUUAUAGAAGAAUGGUUGAACCACUGGACAUUGCUGCCUUCUACAGAGAGGGUAGAACAGACUACAUAAACAAUGGAAGAUCUCCUCAUUACAAGCUGUUGCAGCAAUGGUAUGAGGAAGAUGUGAAGCCCCCAUCCAGAGAUAAGCUCGAUUCCAAGAAACUAAAGGUGUCUGGUAUCCUAACUGAGGAUUCUUUGUUUUGGGCACAUGUGGAGGAGGCUCUCUUGUCAUGCGAAUCGCUCAAGAGUGCAAACUCUACUCUUGAGCAGAGAAAAUCAUCAUGGGAUAAUCUGGUUAAGUUUGGGGAGUAUGUAAUGGAACAGAUUGGAAACUAUGCAGUGUCCCCUGAGAUUUUCUUGGGGGAAAGCAGCUUCAUGAAAUGGUGGGGAGUGUAUGAGGACUACAUAGAUGCUUCCAAUAAUUUCUAUGGGUCACCAUUGAUCAACUUUAUGAAGGACCGUAGUUAUAGACUGUAUGGUUAGAGGGCAAUCCAGUUUGUGUAUUGUGUUUAUUGUAUUGUGAGCAUUCAAUAGAUAAAACUAGAAAGAGCGUGACCUUUUUAUGACAACUUUAGAAACCAGGGGUUAAAAGAGACAUUACAAAUUGAAUUUUUUGAGAGGAAACCUCAAGAGUAUACUGGGAAGCCAUGGUGGAACAAGUAGAGAGGAAGCUUCGGAAGGAAGGAUCAAUGGUUGAACCACUUGACAUUGUUGCCUACUUCAGGGAGGGUGUAAGAAACAACAUAACCGAGGGAAGAUCUGAACAUUAAACAUUGUACAAUUAUUGUAAAUGUCUUAUACAUUACGUGUGAAAAUACCAAAAAAAAUUAUAUUCAACAUUUAUGUUUGUAUACAAGCAAUAUUUUGGAUAGUUUGAUAUAAAAAACAAAUGAAGAAAACGAAGAAAAACAUACAAAUAUAUUUACAAUGGACAAACUUAUACAAUUAGUGUAAAUGUCUUGUAUAUUUAGUACAAAAGUCUCGUACUUUGUAAAAAUAUAAAAAUAUAGUAUUUGACUUUUAUAUAUGUGUGAAAAUGUAAAAGGAAAAAGAAAAAUAGUUAGAGCAUUUGGUACCGUGAGUGAUGACUUCACCUAAAGAAAGGUUAAUGAAUAUUAUGGUCUCGAUGGAAGAGCGACUCCGGUAAAAUAUAUGGAUUAAAUUGAUGCUUUUCUUUUGACGAUGAAGUAGUUGAGUUAUGAAUACGAGGUUUUGCUAACAACAUUGAAGGCAAGGAUUCCCUAAUAUACUCCAAUUCAUAUUCAAUUUGUAGACCUUCAACUAACUACUCUUGCUAAUGAGCAUAUCCAAGUGAAUACAUAAGAUUAAUUAUUACAUAUGAUAAUUGAAACCCUGUUUAAAUAAAUAGUGACACAAAUAUAAAAAAUAUAUAUAUUUAAAAAUAAAUAAAUAAUAAUUUAGAGAAUUUCAUAACUUAGCAUCAAACCUAUUGUAGGAAAGAGUAUUAUACAAUGUAGGGUUUAGGAUCAAAGUUAACCUAAGAUCAAAUUUAAGUCUUAAGACCAAUUCACAUUCAAAACUAAGGUUUUAAAUUUCAAAAAUAUAUCUCUUAAACCAAUUAAAUGGAAAAAAGAAAAUUACAAAGAAAAUUUCUUCCUCAUCGGUUUCUUUUAUCUUGAAAACUAAAGGAAAUAUAUAUCAAUAUUUGAGAUGGAAAUUCAUAAUCUUAGAAACACAAAGAACAAAGAGAGUAUGAAGAGACCAUACCAUGAGAGAUUUUCCAAAAGGUUGGUAAACCAUGGUAAUCACCUUUGAGUUUUGCUGAGAAAAACAAACCUUAAUUUUUAUUUUUAUUUUUUUAUCAUUUUUUCUCUUGUGGUGUACAUUUAAGAAAAACAAAUCUUAAAAAAAAAAAAAAAAAAACCAAAUAAUGCCAGAAUUUGGGUUGAGAAACACCCAAAAGAUAGUGGCCCAAUACAUGUGCCUAAGAAAAUCUUCAUGAGCCGAUAAACAUAGUCACAAAACUAGGAACAGCCUUGUAGCCAUAGUUGGUGUAGUAUGAGCAAGUGGGGUAUGAAGUAGGUAGGUGAGUAUUGCAAUGAAAUUUCCAGCACUGCUUCCUGAAUUAAGAAAUCACAUACUCAAGUCUUAAUCGUUGUCAUCAUACCGUGUGAGAACCGAGGAAGAAUCUUUGCUCUUAGACUGGAUUUUGUAGUCUUUCUUUAACAAUUACAAGUUAUCUGAAUUCCCUUCAUCCUCCUAUAUAAUAUUGUUUUUGGUCUUGUUCUUGUUGCAUUGUGGCUAGGCAUCUCCAUGGGAGGAAGGAGGAUGAAUCAAGUUCCUUUGUAUGAAUCAAUUUCUCUGCUCUUUUUUUUUUCAAUCCUUGAAUCGAAUCAUUGCUUAGUUCUUGCUUUAAUUUCUCCAUUUUCUGUUGGGUCUUUGAUUGCAGGUUUAGCUCUGCAAGAAAACUGGGAAAUUUAAUUGUGACCUCCAAUCUAAUCGACUCUGCUUUGACUAAAAUUCUUGAGCUUCAAAGAGACCAAACAGCCUUGCCUUCCCCCGUUCAAUACAGAGUUUUUUAUCCAUCUCCCAAGUGCACAAUUGUAGCUUUUGUCUCUUCACCUGACUGCACUCAAAACCCUCUUCCUGGACAAGGAGAUUUAGUUCCCUCUCCUCUCUUUGACUUCCUCUGCACCGAAGAAUACAAGUCCGUCUCCAUUAACAGAGCUGCAUUAACCCUCUUUACCUCUCUCCACGAUCAUCUCUCUGGACUAAAAACUCAGGUCAAAAUAUGAUAGUUGUUUUUAUUUUCGUUUCCUUUUUGUUAACAAUUGUGAGACAUGAAACAGCUUGACCAUGAGAUCUCUCUCAUAGAGUCAAACUACCUGAAGAAGAAGAAGACGUUACACAUAUCCAUCUGCGCUGCAUCAUCGCAUUACCCAUUGAUCGGUUGUGAUUCAACUCUUAAUAGGAAGACAGUAGAACUGGUGUUGGUAUCUGUUUUUAGAUCAGCUUAUAUGUAUCUUGUUGCUAAAAAGGGAAAGUUUAGAAGUGAGAUUAAUGGGAUUAUUCUGACAUGGAUUUCAUAUGGUUACCUGUUUUGCAGUUGACUGUGAUUGAAGGU
rnacentral:lncRNA from 1 species